rnacentral:rRNA from 1 species
UACGGGGGGGGCAAGCGUUGUUCGGAAUUACUGGGCGUAAAGGGCUCGUAGGCGGCCAACUAAGUCAUACGUGAAAUCCCUCGGCUUAACCGGGGAACCGCGUCUGAUACUGGAUGGCUUGAGAUUGGGAGAGGGAUGCGGAAUUCCAGGUGUAGCGGUGAAAUGCGUAGAUAUCUGGAGGAACACCGGUGGCGAAGGCGGCAUCCUGGACCAACACCGACGCUGAGGAGCGAAAGCCAGGGGAGCAAACGGG